rnacentral:rRNA from 1 species
GACGAACGCUGGCGGCGUGCCUAACACAUGCAAGUCGAGCGAAUGAAGUUCCUUCGGGAAUGGAUUUAGCGGCGGACGGGUGAGUAACACGUGGGCAACCUGCCUCAUAGAGGGGAAUAGCCUUCCGAAAGGGAGAGUAAUACCGCAUAAGAUUGUAGUAGCGCAUGAUACAGCAAUUAAAGGAGCAAUCCGCUAUGAGAUGGGCCCGCGGCGCAUUAGCUAGUUGGUGAGGUAACGGCGCACCAAGGCGACGAGGCGUAGCCGACCUGAGAGGGUGAUCGGCCACAUUGGGACUGAGCCACGGCCCAGACUCCUACGGGAGGCAGCAGUGGGGAAUAUUGCACAAUGGCGGAAACCCUGAUGCAGCACCGCCGCGUGAGUGAUGACGGCCUUCGGGUUGUAAAGCUCUGUCUUCAGGGACGAUAAUGACGGUACCUGAGGAGGAAGCCACGGCUAACUACGUG